rnacentral:lncRNA from 1 species
AUAUGUUUGGUAUGUUAUGAACAUUCAAGCCAGGAGCCUGUUAUUCAGUGGUUGCCGUUUGUUUAUUGUGUUAAUUAUUUGUUUUUCGUUCAUUUUUUGUACAUAAAUAAGGCCACUAGUUUUCUCGUUUGAAUUGUUUUACAUUGUCAUUUCGGGGCCUUUUAUAGCUGACUAUGCGGUAUGGGCUUUGUUCAUUGUGUAAGGCCGUACAGUGACCUAUAGUUGUUAAUUUCUG